UUGGUUUCCUAGGAUACCCGGCACCACAACGCAAGCAGGCAAGGACCCAAACUAAAAUUACAUCUCACCAUCCAAGUUAUCUGAAAAAAGCUGCCAGAUUGGGCUAUAAAAAUCCCAAUGAUCUCAUGCUUUUCAUCAUAUGUACCAGAGAGAAAAAAAAAAAAAA